rnacentral:rRNA from 1 species
CCUACGGGAGGCAGCAGUAGGGAAUAUUGCUCAAUGGGGGAAACCCUGAAGCAGCAACGCCGCGUGGAGGAUGAAGGUUCUCGGAUUGUAAACCCCUUUUGUUAGAGAAGAUAAUGACGGUAUCUAACGAAUAAGCACCGGCUAACUCCGUGCCAGCAGCCGCGGUAAUACGGAGGGUGCAAGCGUUACCCGGAAUCACUGGGCGUAAAGAGCGCGUAGGCGGGAUAGCAAGUCAGAUGUGAAAUCCUAUGGCUUAACCAUAGAACUGCAUUUGAAACUGUUAUUCUAGAGUAUGGGAGAGGUAGGUGGAAUUAUUGGUGUAGGGGUAAAAUGCGUAGAGAUCAAGAGGAAUACUCAUUGCGAAGGCGACCUGCUAGAACAUAACUGACGCUGAUGCGCGAAAGCGUGGGGAGCAAACAGGAUUAGAUACCCGUGUAGUC